AAAAACUCACCAAAAUGAACCAAACAUUCAAAGAAAAAACGGAAGGAAGGGUGAGCAUUUGACAAAAUAAAAGUAUAGGAAGCUCUCUAGGACCCCCAAACUCAUCUACCAACAAUCACCACAUACCAUAAUAAAAACUUUAGCAAGAACAUCCAGUAAAGAAAGAAAGAAAAAACAAGAAACGAGGGUAAGCCCCAAAGGUGGCAACAUGAGAUCACACCAUCUCACGCAGUCCCAUCUCUGCUCAAGUUGUGAGAGCUAACCACCUCAAUCGGUCCCCGUAAGUUCAGCGUGAUACGCUCCACUACAUUUUCAACUCUACACAUAGACAUGUCGUAUACUCGCUGCGGCAAUGAAUCAUGUCACUUCAUGCGGUCCCUGCAUGAUCCAAAAAGAAACUAUGCAACGGUUUACAAGUAUUCAAUCUGUUACAUUGCACAACCACACAUAUACCUUAACCCUUUACCUACACAUGUUAUAAACCCACGCAAUACAAAUACUGAGGUGCAAGUCUCAAUCACCCUACAACCAAAUUCAUUUUAACAACCUAUGAGUAGAUUUGGUGUUCACACAACGAUACUAGUUUAUAUAUAUGUUAUAGUUCACUUAUCAACCAAAUACGUGUAUGCUUAUACGUAUGUAUGAAAGGUUUAGAUAGAAACUCCUACAAAGAAAUGAGAAUGAAAGAAAGAAGAAAGAUCACCUCUUCAAUGUUCACAAGGAUGUGAUUUACCGGUUUCCAUAGACCGAAUAUUAGCUUAUAUGUGGUUUCCGAACCUCUCCUUGUUCGUUUGUUACCUUUGCAAACAAGUUUUUAUGGUUUUGUUUUAUAAAGCAACUUAAAGAAAAAAAUUCUAAAUGACAGAAGUAAAUAAAUUUUCUUGGGUUUUUAUUUUAUGGAAACGAAUAUGAUGGAGUUAUCUCUGAUACUUCUAAAUAUUCGGCUCUAGGUGAAUCGCACGAAGAGAAAAGUCAAAACACUCAAGAACUACCCGGGCUGCCUUAGUUGUUCGACUACAUUUAGAUAAAUUUUUGUUGCACAAUGCUAGAUAACAUUUUUAAUAAUCUUAUUAUUUUGAGUACAUUUUUUUUGGUUCAAAAAAAAAGAAGAAGAUUUGAAUCUAAAUGACAGGACUUUGUAGGGAAACGAAUAUUUGUGGUAUAAAACCAAUAACAGGAAAGAAUAACGAUAAAAUAAUAUUUGGCCUACACUUUUUCUUACCUACAAAAAUUGUAUAUAUUGUAAAUACCUUGUUUACUCGCGGGUUUUCCAACUUGUUAUUUGGUCGUUUUUGAUAUAUUAUUGCCCGCUUUUCGAGAAGCAUAUGACAUUGUCUUCUUUUUCAAAGUCUUAUGUUCUUGAAUCUUCAUGUUCUUCCUCAUUUUUCAUUAUCAGCUCUUCCUCUU
rnacentral:lncRNA from 1 species